CCUACGGGUGGCAGCAGUGAGGAAUAUUGGUCAAUGGCCGGAAGGCUGAACCAGCCAUGCCGCGUGAAGGUCAGUGCUCUAUGGGCGUUAAACUUCUUUUGUGCGGGAGCAAUAAUGGUCACGUGUGGCCAGACGAGAGUACCGUACGAAUAAGCAUCGGCUAACUCCGUGCCAGCAGCCGCGGUAAUACGGGGGGUGCAAGCGUGAUCCUGAUUUAUUGGGUUUAAAGGGUGCGUAGACUGUGAGGUAAGUUAGCGGAGGAAUGCCCCCGCUCAACGGGGUGGAGUGCCAUUGAUACUUGCAUGCUGGAAUGCGGAUGCGGUAGGAGGAAUGUGUGGUGUAGCGGUGAAAUGCAUAGAUAUCACACAGAACACCGAAUGCGAAGGCAUCUCACGAAUCCGCGAUUGACGCUGAUGGACGAAAGCGUGGGUAUCAAACAGGAUUAGAUACCCCUGUAGUC
rnacentral:rRNA from 1 species